rnacentral:rRNA from 1 species
CCUACGGGAGGCAGCAGUAGGGAAUCUUUCACAAUGGGCGAAAGCCUGAUGGAGCAACGCCGCGUGCAGGAUGACGGCCCUCGGGUUGUAAACUGCUUUUAUAAGCGAGAAAUAUGAUGGUAACUUAUGACUAAGGAUCGGCUAACUACGUGCCAGCAGCCGCGGUCAUACGUAGGAUCCGAGCAUUAUCCGGAGUGACUGGGUGUAAAGAGUUGCGUAGAUGGCAUAGUACGUAGCUAGUGAAAUCAGGUGGCGCAACAAUUCAGACUAUUAGCUAAACUGCUGAGCUCGAGAGCGUUAGGAGUAACUGGAAUGUCUAGUGUAGGAGUGAAAUGCGUAGAUAUUAGGAGGAACACCGAUAGCGUAGGCAGGUUACUGGGAAGGUUCUGACACUAAGGCACGAAAGCGUAGGGAGCAAACGGGAUUAGAUACCCUAGUAGUC